UGGCAAGCGUUGUCCGGAUUUAUUGGGCGUAAAGCGAGCGCAGGCGGUUUUUUAAGUCUGAUGUGAAAGCCUUCGGCUUAACCGGAGAAGUGCAUCGGAAACUGGGAGACUUGAGUGCAGAAGAGGACAGUGGAACUCCAUGUGUAGCGGUGGAAUGCGUAGAUAUAUGGAAGAACACCAGUGGCGAAGGCGGCUGUCUAGUCUGUAACUGACGCUGAGGCUCGAAAGCAUGGGUAGCGAACAGGAUUAGAUACCCUGGUAGUCCAUGCCGUAAACGAUGAGUGCUAAGUGUUGGAGGGUUUCCGCCCUUCAGUGCUGCAGCUAACGCAUUAAGCACUCCGCCUGGGGAGUACGACCGCAAGGUUGAAACUCAAAGGAAUUGACGGGGGCCCGCACAAGCGGUGGAG
rnacentral:rRNA from 1 species